UACGUAGGCAGCGAGCGUUGUUCGGAGUUACUGGGCGUAAAGGGUGUGUAGGCGGUUGUUUAAGUUUGGGGUGAAAUCUCCCGGCUCAACCGGGAGGGUGCGGCGAAUACUGAAUGACUUGGAGUGCGGGAGAGGAAAGUGGAAUUCCUGGUGUAGCGGUGAAAUGCGUAGAUAUCAGGAGGAACACCGGUGGUGUAGACGGCUUUCUGGACCGUAACUGACGCUGAGACACGAAAGCGUGGGUAGCAAACAGG
rnacentral:rRNA from 1 species